rnacentral:lncRNA from 1 species
AACAGCAAAGAGCAAACCGACAGCUCUUUGGAUUGAACCAAAUUAAAAGUCGUCAAUAAUAAUAAUAAUAAUAAUAAUUAACAAGAAAGGUGAAAAUCAAAGAAUUAAAUUAUCGUAUACAAAAGAACAUUAAUUGGAACAGAAACAAGACAAAUCCGGAACCAAUCUCAGUUCUACGACUAGUAGUAUGGAAUUGUUGGUGGCGGUGGCGAUGCGUACGAUACUCCUACCACUGGUGGCAACGGUACGCUAUCCGGACUCGGGGGUGGAGGUGAUGGCGGCGGUGGUGAAUGAGCCNNNNNGGCGGUGAUGAAUGAACCGGAGGUGGAGGAGAUGAGUAUGUGUAAUGCCUUGCCGGAGGCGGCGGUGGAGGACUUCGGUGAUGAUGC